rnacentral:tRNA from 1 species
GCGGGAGAAGCUCAGUUGGUUGAGCGCCAGCCUUCCAAGCUGGAUGUCGCGGGUUCGAAUCCCGUCUCCCGCUCCA